GAAAUGUGAUAAGUAAUGUGAAUUGCAGAAUUCCGUGAAUCAUCGAAUCUUUGAACGCACAUUGCGCCCUCUGGUAUUCCGGGGGGCAUGCCUGUCCGAGCGUCAUUGCACACCCUCAAGCGCGGCUUGUGUGUUGGGCCCUCGCGUCCUUGCCUCUUAAAAGGACGGGCCCGAAAGGCAGUGGCGGCACCAUGUCUGGUCCUCGAGCGUAUGGGGCUUUGUCACCCGCUCCCGUAGGUCCAGCUGGCAGCUAGCCUCGCAACCAAUCUUUUUAACCAGGUUGACCUCGGAUCAGGUAGGGAUACCCGCUGAACUUAAGC
rnacentral:misc_RNA from 1 species